CAGCAGCCGCGGUAAUACGCAGGGUGCGAGCGUUAAUCGGAAUUACUGGGCGUAAAGCGUGCGCAGGCGGUUCGUUAAGACAGAUGUGAAAUCCCCGGGCUUAACCUGGGAACUGCAUUUGUGACUGGCGAGCUAGAGUAUGGCAGAGGGGGGUAGAAUUCCACGUGUAGCAGUGAAAUGCGUAGGGAUGUGGAGGAAUACCGAUGGCGAAGGCAGCCCCCUGGGCCAAUACUGACGCUCAUGCACGAAAGCGUGGGGAGCAAACAGGAUUAGAUACCCCUGUAGUCCCUGUCUCUUAUAC
rnacentral:rRNA from 1 species